rnacentral:rRNA from 1 species
CCUACGGGGUGCAGCAGUAGGGAAUUUUCGUCAAUGGGCGCAAGCCUGAACGAGCAAUGCCGCGUGAACGAGGAAGGUCUUCGGAUCGUAAAGUUCUGUUGAAGGGGAAAAAGAGCGGAGCGAGGAAAUGAACUCCGAUUGAUAUCACCCUUCGAGGAAGUCACGGCUAACUACGUGCCAGCAGCCGCGGUAAUACGUGGGUGGCGAGGGUUAUCCGGAAUGAUUGGGCGUAAAGGGUGCGUAGGCGGCCUGCAAAGUUUGGAGUGAAAGGGACCGGCUCAACGGGUACAGGCAAUGGAAACUGGCGGGCGAGAGAGCAGGAGAGGGCGGUGGAACUCGAGGUGUAGCGGUAAAAUGCGUAGAUAUAUGGAAGAACGCCAGUGGCGAAGGCGGCCGCCUAGACUGUUACUGACGCUGAGGCACGAAAGCGUGGGGAGCAAAUAGGAUUAGAUACCCUUGUAGUC